rnacentral:rRNA from 1 species
AUUGAACGCUGGUGGCAGGCUUAACACAUGCAAGUCGAACGAGUGGCGGACGGGUGAGUAAUGUCUGGGAAACUGACUGAUGGAGGGGGAUAACUACUGGAAACGGUAGCUAAUACCGCAUACCAUCAGAUGUGCCCAGAGUGGAUUAGCUAGUUGGUGGGGUAACGGCUCACCAAGGCGACGAUCCCUAGCUGGUCUGAGAGGAUGACCAGCCCCACUGUAACUGAGACACGGUCCAGCCUCCUACGGGAGGCAGCAGUGUGGAAUAUUGCACAAUGGGCUCAAGCCUGAUGCAGCCAUGCCGCGUGUAUGAAGAAGGCCGUCGGGUUGUAAAGUACUUUCAGCGGUGAGGCGUUACCCGCAGAAGAAGCACCGGCUAACUCCGUGCCAGCAGCCGCGGUAAUUC